UACGAAGGGAUCUAGCGUUUUUCGGGUUUACUGGGCGUAAAGGGCGCGUAGGCGGUCUGAUAAGGAGGGUGUUAAAGCCCCGGGCUUAACCCGGUAGCUGCAUCCUAAACUAUCAGGCUUGAGUGUUGGAGAGGUAAGUAGAAUUCCCAGUGUAGAGGUGAAAUUCGUAGAUAUUGGGAAGAAUACCAGUGGCGAAGGCGGCUUACUGGACAACAACUGACGCUGAGACGCGAAAUCGUGGGGUGCAAACAGA
rnacentral:rRNA from 1 species